rnacentral:rRNA from 1 species
UACGGGGGGGGCAAGCGUUGUUCGGAAUUACUGGGCGUAAAGCGUGCGCAGGCGGUUGUGCAAGACCGAUGUGAAAUCCCCGGGCUUAACCUGGGGGCUGCAUUUGAUACGUGUGGGCUUGAGUGCGGAAGAGGGUCGUGGAAUUCCCAGUGUAGAGGUGAAAUUCGUAGAUAUUGGGAAGAACACCGGUGGCGAAGGCGGCGACCUGGUCCGUGACUGACGCUGAGGCGCGAAAGCGUGGGGAGCAAACAGG